ensembl:lncRNA
CCUGUUUCAAGGUCAGUGGUUAGCCACCUUCAUUCCAUCUGCUACCAUAAUUCCCAACUGUCAUGUAACGUAACAUAAACACAGGUUCUGAUGAUUGGGACAUGGACAUCUUUAGGGGCCAUUAUUCUGCCAACUGCCCCAGAACUGAUUCAUUUUCUUAAGGGUCUAGGAGCGAUUCAUCUCAAGAAAUCCUUUUCGUAUAACAUAAAUGUGCUAGUAUUUUGACGCGCAUGUACUCAGGACCAGAUAGAAGUCAGAUGAGCAAAGGUCGACAGGAGGGGGAAGAGAAAUUUCAUGUGGAACCUUUAGAACCCUCCAACAACCAACUCCCAAGUUCAUGUAGCACUUGCAGUGGCAUCUGCCUGGGAUGGACACAGCGCCAAGAAGAUAAAGGGGAUUUAAAUGAUUUAGAAGAAGUAUGGAGCGCAGACGUUAGGUAAUUACAGAAGUUUAGAGCUUAAACAGGUCUUAUAGGGUCUCUAUUCCAGUUUCCCCUUGGGUCCCUACGACGGUAAUUAUUUUAGGUGGGACACAAACAGGGCGUUAAAACAGAUUCACAAAAUGGGGAGCUCGUCUCCCUUUCGGUUCUCUGCAAUUCUUCUUAUUAUGGAAAACACAGUCUCUGCUUCGUGUUGGUCUGUCUUUAACACCUGGCUAACACUUGCUGAUCUCCUUUUUAACAAGCAGAGAGCAGACCUCAGGCUAGAUCUUGGGCGGAGUCCAUCUAGAUGGGAUGUUUGUGGCCAAACAAUGCAGGGGCCUCCAGAUGACUGAUUUGGGGAGACUGGGGCCAACUCCCUCUCUUCCCAGUUGAGGAAACAGAGGCCCAGAGAGCUGGUCUCCCGAACCCCAUCUCCUGAGCCCUACUCCAGCGUCUGCCUCAUGUGUGUGAAAGUGCCCAAGAAAUAACAGGGGAGAAAACAGACCAUCCAUCACUAAAAGGACGAGAGAAGAGAAAGUGAAAGGGGCAGGAGAUGGAUGUUUCCUUCUCUGGCCAGGCUGCUGAGCCCCAGGCCUUGGAGAGAAUUCAGAAGAAUGUGAGGGAGCAGAAGGAAAAAUGAAGCAGUCAAACUGCCUGCUGGCAGGGAAGCCUGCUCAGCUCUGGCUGAAGCCACUGGCAGCAGGAAUGCUCUGGGUGUGUGGGAGGAGGGGAAGGAGGAGCAGUGCCAGGAGGCAGCUGAGGGGUGCCCAGGAGCCGGGGCUCAGGACUCCCCCCGCCACCCAGGAGGGCGCUUGAGGAGGGAGCCCCAGAGUGACCGUAUAAGCCAGUCAGACCCCUCAAAUCUCUGUCCUCCACUCCCCCACCCACCCAGACCUCAAGAAAGCCAGCCGUCACCCUUCCUCCGGCACAUCCUGGCAGACGUGCAGAUAUGGCCCUGACUUUACAGCCAAAAUUACCUUUCCAGGAAAAUGCUUCCACCUUCUGAAAAGGACACUGAGAAAAUAGUGUACAAGGCAGAGGAUUUCAAACUCUUUUAAAGCAGACAAAUCUUUCUGUCAAUGAUCAAACAGGAGCAUCAUUUAAGGGUCUGCAAUCAGAGUUCCUAAAAAGUAUUUGACUGGAACAAAGAUGUCACUUGCCUAUUCGUGGGACCCAUCUACACAGUGGAGAGGAAGAAGCUACAGUCAGUGCUCAAGACGAAUUCGCGGGCAAUCAAGAGAUGCUGAUGGAUGAUGCAAGAGAAUCAAAAAGG